rnacentral:rRNA from 1 species
AAACAUAGCCCCUUGAAUAAAAAUAAGGGGUAAUGCCUGCCCAAUGGAACACUAUAAAUGGCCGCGGUAUCUUGACCGUGCAAAGGUAGCAUAAUCAUUUGUCUCUUAAAUAGGGACCUGCAUGAAUGGCAACACAUUUUCUAACUGUCUCCUUUCUUACCCUUCUAAACUUCUACUAAUGUGAAGAAGCAUUAAUAAAAAAGAAAGACGAGAAGACCCUGUCGAGCUUAAACUUCCCAAAGAGAAAACUACACCUUUAAAAGAAAAACACAUCCACAAAGAAGUUUUGGUUGGGGUAACCAUGGAGUAAAAAAAAUCUCCAGAAAAAUAAAAAGAUAAACAAUCAACAAUUAAAAACAAAAAGAACCAAAAUUCUUGGCAAUCAGAAAAAGUUACCGCAGGGAUAACAGCGUUAUCUCCUUUAAGAGUUCAUAUUGACAAGGAGGAUUGCGACCUCGAUGUUGGAUUGGGGCUACCAGAGGGUGCAGAAGCUCUCCAG